rnacentral:rRNA from 1 species
AUUGAACGCUGGCGGCAGGCCUAACACAUGCAAGUCGAACGCAGUGGGGACGGGUGAGUAACACGUGGGUAACCUACCAUCAGAGGGGAUAACACUUGGAAACAGGUGCUAAACCGAUACUGAUGGAUGGACCGGCGGUGCAUUAGCUAGUGGGGGAGGUAACGGCUCACCAAGGCCACGAUUGAUAGCCGACCUGAGAGGGUGAUCGGCCACACUGGGACUGAGACACGGCCCAUACUCCUACGGUAGGCAGCAGUAUGGAAUCUUCGGAAAUGGACGAAAGUCUGACCGAGCAACGCCGCGUGAGUGAAGAAGGUUUUCGGAUCGUAAAACUCUGUUGUUAGAGAAGCGGUAUCUAACCAGAAAGCCACGGCUAACUACGUGCCAGCCGCCGCGGUAAUAC